UGCCGCGUGAGGUGAUGAAGGCCCUAGGGUUGUAAAGCUCUUUCAGUGGGGACGAUAUGACGGUACCCACAGAAGAAGCCCCGGCUAACUUCGUGCCAGCACCCGCGGUAAUACGAAGGGGGCUAGCGUUGUUCGGAAUUACUGGGCGUAAAGCGCACGUAGGCGGAUAUUUAAGUCGGGGGUGAAAUCCCGGGGCUCAACCCCGGAACUGCCUUCGAUACUGGGUAUCUUGAGUGUGGUAGAGGUGAGUGGAAUUGCGAGUGUGGAGGUGAAAUUCAAAGAUCUUCGCAGGAACACCACUGGCGAAGGCGGCGCACUGGACCACAACUGACGCUAAGGUGCGAAAGCGUGGGGAGCAAACAGGAUUAGAUACCCUGGUAGUCCACGCCGUACACGAUGGAAGCUAGCCUUCGGGGGAUUUAUCUCUCGGUGGCGCAGUGAACGCAUUAAGCUUCCCGCCUGGGGAGUACGGUCGCAAGAUCAAAACGCAAAGGAAUUGACGGGGGCCCGCACAACCGGUGGAGCAUGUG
rnacentral:rRNA from 1 species